CAAUGGCAUACCAUGUGGCCCGUAUCCAAAUCCUGCUAUAGCUACGCCUGCUGACGCGGUGACACCUGAACAGUGGCCAUCAGUGGUGUUGGGGGGGGGGGGGGGGGGGAGAAGGUGCAGGGAGAGACGAUUGAUUAGGACGAACUGCGCAUAAAGCGCAGUUUGUUUUCUUCAUUAAGCGCAUGCGUAUUCUAUACUGCUUCACAUACAUAAACCGUUUCAGGGGCACAAUAAAUUCAGUUGAAAGUUUGCGCUUGGUGUGUGUUCUUCUCUUACGUCAGUGUCUUUUUUUUUUGUUGUUGCGCAAUAAUACUUGCGUAAUGGACAACCAAAACGUGCGGUUGUUUGAUAUUUUUUUUAUCGCUUCGGGACUAUUGUAGUAGACCCAGCUAAAUUAUUUCUAAUGCGAAAUAAUUAUAUGGCUCAUGAAGCGGAAGGUCCGCUGGCGUGGAUGGAGAUAGUAGAAAAAGUCACGUGGUCACAGAGACGCGCUCGUGCCACUGCUCGCGCGUCCAUCGUCGUCCUCUUCCACAGCUGGCACCCAUUCCGCUCACCAGGCUCCCUCUGCGAAGGCGCCGACGGUACUGGUCCACUGCCAGUCGGUGCGGUGAUUUCGCCACGGUGAACAAGAUGUCGUCGUCUCUCAGUUCCUCACUGACUUGCUGUCCAAUUGACCGGACACCCAGUCGUCAACAACGCAAGCAAAAGCCUCAACGUCGUUACGGAGAGGAAAAAAGCAGAGGAAAGAGAGAGGGCCAGCAGAGACGAGACAAGAAACGAAGAAAGGUUGAAGUCAGACGGGGCCUUCCUGAAGUUCGCUUGCUGUGCCGCCCAGACUCCGGCCAGGGCGAGCCGCACCCGGCGCGGGUCCAGG